CACGAACCGGACAAACGUUAUUCGGAAUUAUUGGGCUUAAAGGGUGCGUAGGCGGUGCGGUAAGUGAGGUGUGAAAUCCCUCGGCUCAACCGAGGAAUUGCGCUUCAUACUGCCGUGCUGGAGGGAGACAGGGGUAAGCGGAACUGAUGGUGGAGCGGUGAAAUGCGUUGAUAUCAUCAGGAACACCGGUGGCGAAAGCGGCUUACUGGGUCUUCUCUGACGCUGAGGCACGAAAGCUAGGGUAGCGAACGGG
rnacentral:misc_RNA from 1 species